rnacentral:tRNA from 1 species
GCCGUCGUAGCUCAGCAGGUAGAGCACUUCCAUGGUAAGGAAGGGGUCGCUGGUUCGAGUCCAGUUGUCGGCACCA